CCCAGGCAUAGUGGCAUGUGCCUGUAGUCCCACCUACUCAGAAGGCUGAGGUGAGGGGAUUACUUGAGUCUUAAGAACUCUGGAUUGUAAUGAGCUAUGCCAAUCAUGUGUCCCCACUAAGUUCAGCAUCAUUAUGGUGACCUCCUGGGAGUUGGAGACUACCAGAUUGCCUAAGGAAGGGUGAUCUGGCCCAGAUCCAACAAGGAUUAAGUCAAAACUCCCAGGCUGACCAGUAGUGAGAUCAUGCCUGUGAACAGCCACUGCACUCCAACCUGGGCCAAUUAUUAAUAGCAAGACCCUGUCUCUU
ensembl:misc_RNA Metazoa_SRP Metazoan signal recognition particle RNA